GACAGAGGCCCCAAGCGUUAGGCGGAAUCACUGGGCUUAAAGCGUGUGUAGGCGGAUCGUUAAGUGUCUUGUGAAAUCCCACGGCUCACCCGUGGAACUGCUGGGCAUACUGGCGAUCUUGGGCCAACUAGGGGCAGCCGGGAACAAGCGGUGGAGCGGUGAAAUGCGUAGAUAUCGCUUGGAACGCCGAAGGUGAAAACAGGCUGCUGGGGUUGCGCCGACGCUGAGACACGAAAGCCAGGGGAGCAAACGGG
rnacentral:rRNA from 1 species